CCAGAGAACUUAGCAGAGAUGCUUGGUGCCUUCGGGAACUCUGAGACAGGUGCUGCAUGGCUGUCGUCAGCUCGUGUUGUGAAAUGUUGGGUUAAGUCCCGCAACGAGCGCAACCCUUAUCCUUUGUUGCCAGCGGCUCGGCCGGGAACUCAAAGGAGACUGCCGGUGAUAAACCGGAGGAAGGUGGGGAUGACGUCAAGUCAUCAUGGCCCUUACGGCCAGGGCUACACACGUGCUACAAUGGCGCAUACAAAGAGAAGCGACCUCGCGAGAGCAAGCGGACCUCAUAAAGUGCGUCGUAGUCCGGAUUGGAGUCUGCAACUCGACUCCAUGAAGUCGGAAUCGCUAGUAAUCGUAGAUCAGAAUGCUACGGUGAAUACGUUCCCGGGCCUUGUACACACCGCCCGUCACACCAUGGGAGUGGGUUGCAAAAGAAGUAGGUAGCUUAACCUUCGGGAGGGCGCUUACCACUUUGUGAUUCAUGACUGGGGUGAAGUCGUAACAAGGUAGGCGUAGCGAG
rnacentral:rRNA from 1 species